GUCGAACGAACUCUGGUAUUGAUUGGUGCUUGCAUCAUGAUUUACAUUUGAGUGAGUGGCGAACUGGUGAGUAACACGUGGGAAACCUGCCCAGAAGCGGGGGAUAACACCUGGAAACAGAUGCUAAUACCGCAUAACAACUUGGACCGCAUGGUCCGAGUUUGAAAGAUGGCUUCGGCUAUCACUUUUGGAUGGUCCCGCGGCGUAUUAGCUAGAUGGUGGGGUAACGGCUCACCAUGGCAAUGAUACGUAGCCGACCUGAGAGGGUAAUCGGCCACAUUGGGACUGAGACACGGCCCAAACUCCUACGGGAGGCAGCAGUAGGGAAUCUUCCACAAUGGACGAAAGUCUGAUGGAGCAACGCCGCGUGAGUGAAGAAGGGUUUCGGCUCGUAAAACUCUGUUGUUAAAGAAGAACAUAUCUGAGAGUAACUGUUCAGGUAUUGACGGUAUUUAACCAGAAAGCCACGGCUAACUACGUGCCAGCAGCCGCGGUAAUACGUAGGUGGCAAGCGUUGUCCGGAUUUAUUGGGCGUAAAGCGAGCGCAGGCGGUUUUUUAAGUCUGAUGUGAAAGCCUUCGGCUCAACCGAAGAAGUGCAUCGGAAACUGGGAAACUUGAGUGCAGAAGAGGACAGUGGAACUCCAUGUGUAGCGGUGAAAUGCGUAGAUAUAUGGAAGAACACCAGUGGCGAAGGCGGCUGUCUGGUCUGUAACUGACGCUGAGGCUCGAAAGUAUGGGUAGCAAACAGGAUUAGAUACCCUGGUAGUCCAUACCGUAAACGAUGAAUGCUAAGUGUUGGAGGGUUUCCGCCCUUCAGUGCUGCAGCUAACGCAUUAAGCAUUCCGCCUGGGGAGUACGGCCGCAAGGCUGAAACUCAAAGGAAUUGACGGGGGCCCGCACAAGCGGUGGAGCAUGUGGUUUAAUUCGAAGCUACGCGAAGAACCUUACCAGGUCUUGACAUACUAUGCAAAUCUAAGAGAUUAGACGUUCCCUUCGGGGACAUGGAUACAGGUGGUGCAUGGUUGUCGUCAGCUCGUGUCGUGAGAUGUUGGGUUAAGUCCCGCAACGAGCGCAACCCUUAUUAUCAGUUGCCAGCAUUAAGUUGGGCACUCUGGUGAGACUGCCGGUGACAAACCGGAGGAAGGUGGGGAUGACGUCAAAUCAUCAUGCCCCUUAUGACCUGGGCUACACACGUGCUACAAUGGAUGGUACAACGAGUUGCGAACUCGCGAGAGUAAGCUAAUCUCUUAAAGCCAUUCUCAGUUCGGAUUGUAGGCUGCAACUCGCCUACAUGAAGUCGGAAUCGCUAGUAAUCGCGGAUCAGCAUGCCGCGGUGAAUACGUUCCCGGGCCUUGUACGCACCGCCCGUCACACCAUGAGAGUUUGUAACACCCAA
rnacentral:rRNA from 2 species